rnacentral:lncRNA from 1 species
UUGACUUUUGCAUUGUUUUGUUCCAGCAUGAGAAAAAUGCUACCAUUAUUUCUGAAGUUCUGGAGAAAGCAAAGGAUGUGAUGCUGGUUUCCCAUUUGACAAGUGCAACCGAAAAUGCUGAAGUAAUGACUAGAAAUUCCCAAGUUAUGGAGAAAGCGAAAGAUAUGAUGACAAGAGCAGCAGAAACUGCUAAAAAUGUUUCUAAUCAAGAAAUGAAAGAUGCUAUUACUCCACCGAGCACUAGUGUUCAAACCAACUUGCCUUCUACCGAGAGAAAGAAACUCGAAGAUCGCAAAAAAGAGUGAUGAUAUUCUUCCUUCGCUAGCAUUUGAGAUGACAUGCCAUUUUGAUCGCAGUUGGUGUGAUUGAUAGGUCUGAUGUUUGACUUUUUUGUUGGUUUUUUUUAAAAAGAAAAUGGUUCCAUAAUAUGAUUUUAAACACACCAUUCUUCUAAUUGCCAAAUUUGAAUACAUAUAUAUAUACAUAUGGUGGCAUUUGGCAUCCAAUGCACAAGAAGCACAAGGGUAUUAAUUGUUUAGCAGCUCACAUUCCUCUGUUUCUUUUCUGGUCCAGAAGAGAACCAACUAAAUACUCCAUUUCUAACCGGGAUCGUGUAACCUAAAGCUUUACACUAUUAACGAAAUGGGAAAGCAUCAAAAUUUAUCACCUUUCAAGUGUCAUAAAAUUCUGCAAUAAUCAAAUUUUAUUACCCACAAUGGCCUUAAAAUUUAUUACAUAAUAUGUGGUAGAACAAACCUACAAGGGGUUCACUUCAAGGCAUCAUCAAAAUUUACAUUUUGGAACAACAAACAGUGAUUGUCGCCAUGGCUCUGCAUCCAUCUAAUGUUCUUUUUCUUCCUUGAAGCUCUCAUCAAGAGAAGUAGACAAGUCAAAAUUUUUUACUUCGGGUGUCUGUAAAGCUUCAUCAUUAUCGUAGUCCCCAUCACAUCCUCCAUCAUCUGGUUGUGGAGAUGAGAAGUCCAAGCACAGUCCUUGAAUUACUUGCUCAUAUGAAUCAGAGAGAUCUUGGGAAGUUA